rnacentral:rRNA from 1 species
GACGAACGCUGGCGGCGUGCUUAACACAUGCAAGUCGAACGGAGCACCCCUGAAGGAGUUUUCGGACAACGGAUGGGAAUGCUUAGUGGCGGACUGGUGAGUAACGCGUGAGGAACCUGCCUUCCAGAGGGGGACAACAGUUGGAAACGACUGCUAAUACCGCAUGAUGCGUUGGAGCCGCAUGACUCCGACGUCAAAGAUUUAUCGCUGGAAGAUGGCCUCGCGUCUGAUUAGCGAGUUGGUGAGGUAACGGCCCACCAAGGCGACGAUCAGUAGCCGGACUGAGAGGUUGGCCGGCCACAUUGGGACUGAGAUACGGCCCAG